rnacentral:rRNA from 1 species
UACGUAGGCAGCGAGCGUUGUUCGGAAUUACUGGGCGUAAAGAGUGUGUAGGCGGUGUUCUAAGUCUGGUGUGAAAUCUCCCGGCUCAACUGGGAGGGUGCGCCGGAAACUGGAAUGCUAGAGUGUGGGAGAGGUAAGCGGAAUUCCUGGUGUAGCGGUGAAAUGCGUAGAUAUCAGGAGGAACACCUGUGGCGAAGGCGGGUCUCUGGGCAGUAACUGACGCUGAGGAGCGAAAGCGUGGGGAGCGAACAGG